CUCACUCUCCCAACGCGCGCUACUUCUCCAGCGGGCGCAGGGCUCAGGGGCACAUGCCGCCCCCGCCCUUGUGCGCUUGCGGCUCCCAGCUAGCAGUCCCCUGCACCGAGCUUUCGCCUGGCUUUCCGCGGGAGCCUUCCAGCGGAUUCUUGGCUGGCAAGGACGGGGGAGCGAGGGAGAGGGAAGUUAGGGCUGCCGAUUUCUCUCCCCACUCCAGCGGCGGCGGCGUUCAGUCCUCUGGGUGGGAUGUACUCCCAGCAGCUGCGGCAGCGGCAGCAGCGGAGGUGCCCGAGCCAUGCACCCCGUAGCCGGGGACAAGGGAAUGGCCAGGAAAAAAAGACCGGGGUGAACCAGCCGGGUGAAGUCCCAGGGCCGCAGAGCUGCACGGGGAAUCUGUCCUGGAGAAGCCUUCUCCGCCUGCCUGGACACUUUAAGCAGUGGUGGCGGCAAACAGCGUGAGAUUGCAAACCGGACAGCGAGCCUCCCUGGUUCCGACGUUGCACUGACCUCUGGAGAUGACAAGUGAGCAAGAAGUGUCCGGCCGGGCCAUCCCCCUCAGUGGCUUGAUGCAGGAUCUCAGUUACCAAAUAAGGGACUGAACUCGUGCCACAGCAGUAAGAGUGCCUGAUCCUAACCAUCAAACCACCGUGGAACUCCCUCAGAUUUUAACUUUUACUCUCGAAUGAGAAGUAUCCCAAAGUCUGGUUUCAAGACAGACCAAGAACCAGAUGUAUACAUUGGUGUGGAUAGGGAGAUCUCAAGAAGAAGCCCUCUAGUUCAAGCUGAAUGAGCAAGAAAGUCUACUGGCAGCAACAGUCAUGGCAGCCGGAAUCCACAAGCAUCUAAUGCACUAAGGAAGAGGAACUCUCUUCUCUGACCAGAGGAACUGUGGUCACAAGAAGGCGACAAGAACCCCUGUUGCUUUUUUUCCUCUGUGGCCCGUAGAUGAAAAUAGAUGGCCAUAGGGGGAAAUCUCUGAAAAGCUGGUACAAGUUUCGUUUUGGUCCUGAAGUUGGUUAUAGUUGCAGGAACUGUGUGACAGAGCAGGGUAAAUAAAAUCCCAGCUUUCCAGCACCAUGAAAGGGAGCCACAGGGAGCAGAUACUGAGAAAAGAGUGUAGAAGAGUGUAUAGAGGGAGGAGCUCGAGAAAGCAACAUCAUAAGCUUAUUUAUAAAUUCCUGGGCUCAUCCUGGAGUUGCACAUACAUGGAUCUGUUCCUUAAUAGCAAAUCAAAGACUUUGAUAACUGAACUGAGAGAUCCAGGUCCCAGACUGGCCAUUAGAUGUGGGACAAAUUUGCAUAGCUUGGCAAAUGUUUUGAAACAAGACUGCCACUGAAACCACAACUCAUAGAAAGCUGUCUGAAACUGAUGAAUCCAAUAAGUCACCUGGUUGCUAUACAAAAAUAUAGUGUCCAUAAGAUUUAAACAAGAAAUAUGUAUUUCUAUUUAAUAGCAAUAGCCAGUUAGAAUCAAAAUUUUUAAAGUAAUAUUUAUGAUAUCUCAAAAAGAAAUAUACAUUAAUUUAAUAAAACAGGUACUGGAUUUGUAUUCUGAAAACUAUAAAACACGAAUUAAAGAAAUCAAAGAAAACCUAAAUUAAUGGCAACAUGGCAACAUUCAAUGUUUUUUGGAUUGGAAGACACAAAAUAGUAAUGAUGUCAAUUUUCCUCAAAUCAAUCUACAGAUUCGAAGCAAGACUACAAUAAAAAAUCUCAGCAGCAUGUUUACUGGACAUGGACAAUCUAUAUUCUAAAAUUCAAUCAAGACUAUGAUAUU
rnacentral:lncRNA from 1 species